AAAAAUUUAGUUAAACUAUAACGUUAGCUUGUCAUGCUAAAAUUAUUGAACUACAAUAAUUUUUU
rnacentral:tRNA from 1 species